rnacentral:rRNA from 1 species
GCAGUCGCCACGGUAAUACGGAGGGUGCAAGCGUUAAUCGGAAUUACUGGGCGUAAAGCGUGCGUAGGCGGUUCGUUAAGUCUGUUGUGAAAGCCCCGGGCUCAACCUGGGAAUGGCAAUGGAUACUGGCGAGCUAGAGUGUGUCAGAGGAUGGUGGAAUUCCCGGUGUAGCGGUGAAAUGCGUAGAGAUCGGGAGGAACAUCAGUGGCGAAGGCGGCCAUCUGGGACAACACUGACGCUGAGGCACGAAAGCGUGGGGAGCAAACAGGAUUAGAUACCCCAGUAGUCCCUGUCUCUUAUAC